ensembl:misc_RNA Metazoa_SRP Metazoan signal recognition particle RNA
GCCAGGUGUAGUAGUGCACACUUGUAGUCUCAGCUACUCAGGAGGCUGGGGUGGGAGGUUCGCUUGAGUCCAAGAGUUCUGGGCUGCAGUGUGCUAUGCCGAUAGGGUGUCUGCACUAAGUUCUGCAUCAAUAUGGUGACCUCCUGGGAGUGGGGGACCACGAGGUUGCCUAAGGAGGGGCGAACCAGCCCAGGUCAGAAACAGAGCAGGUCAAAACUCCUGUGCUGAUCAGUUUAGUACAAGAUGAGAGAUUUUCUGCAUAUGGAUAGCCUGUUUUCCCAGCAUUAUUUGCUAAGGAGGCUAUCUUUCCUC